rnacentral:misc_RNA from 1 species
GAAAUAUUAGUUACAUGAAAGAGGAGGAAAAUCUCAUAGAAACUAUUGUGUUCUUUGUUACUUCUGAUCUUGAAUUACAUCAAUAUUACUCUCUCCUAGUAACUGGCCUUCUAUGAAACAGAAUUUGAGCAGAAAACUUGUCCACAUAUUGUCCGGAUUGCUUUUCACAAUGUCUUGGCCUAUAUUCAGUUUAUCGCUUUGAUUCUAGAAUAGCACCUCAACGGAGGCUCGCUACUUCGCUUCCAUAGUUCCUACUGUGAAUUGCUUGAGGCUUGUCAUCAAUGGCCUCUCAUUAACCAAAGAUGAAGGACUUCUGAAGUCGCUUACUCGGGAAGGAAAACCAGAGGAAUUGCUGAGAGGCCCUUUAUAUUAUGUUCUAAUGCUGAUUUUGUCAGCUGUUGUCUUCUGGCGUGAAUCUCCAGUUGGUUUGAUCUCAUUGGGAAUGAUGUGUGGAGGAGAUGGCAUUGCUGAUAUAAUGGGAAGAAAAUUUGGGUCCAAAAGGCUUCCUUAUAAUCAGGAGAAGAGUUGGAUUGGUAGCAUAUCAAUGUUUAUCUUUGGAUUCUGCAUCUCCUUUGGAAUGUUGUACUAUUACUCAGUUCUUGGAUAUUUGGAGUUGGAUUUGGGAAAGGCAGUGCAAAAAGUUGCUUUAGUUUCUCUGGUGGCAACUGUGGUGGAAUCUCUUCCAAUUGCAAAUGUUGUAGAUGAUAAUAUUUCGGUACCACUGGUCAGUAUGGCAGUAGCCUUUCUGACUUUCAGUUUUUAGUAUUAUGGACUUUUCCCAUCUUCCCAUCACAC